AGGAAAAGAAACCAACAGGGAUUGCCCUAGUAACGGCGAGUGAAGCGGCAACAGCUCAAAUUUGAAAUCUGGCUCUUUUAGGGUCCGAGUUGUAAUUUGCAGAGGGCGCUUUGGCGGUGGCAGCGGUUCAAGUUCCUUGGAACAGGACGUCACAGAGGGUGAGAAUCCCGUACGUGGUCGCUAACCAUUGCCGUGUAAAGCCCCUUCGACGAGUCGAGUUGUUUGGGAAUGCAGCUCUAAAUGGGAGGUAAAUUUCUUCUAAAGCUAAAUACUGGCCAGAGACCGAUAGCGCACAAGUAGAGUGAUCGAAAGAUGAAAAGCACUUUGGAAAGAGAGUCAAAUAGCACGUGAAAUUGUUGAAAGGGAAGCGCUUGCAGCCAGACUUGCCUGUAGUUGCUCAUCCGGGCUUUUGCCCGGUGCACUCUUCUGCGGGCAGGCCAGCAUCAGUUUGGGCGGCUAGAUAAAGAUCUCCAUCACGUACCUCUCUUCGGGGAGGCCUUAUAGGGGAGAUGUAAUGUAGCCAGCCUGGACUGAGGUCCGCGCAUUUUGCUAGGAUGCUGGCGUAAUGGCUGUAAGCGGCCCGUCUUGAAACACGGACCAAGGAGUCUAACAUCUAUGCGAGUGUUUGGGUGUCAAGCCCGAGCGCGCAAUGAAAGUGAACGGAGGUGGGAACCCUUUUCUGGGUGCACCAUCGACCGAUCCUGAUGUCUUCGGAUGGAUUUGAGUAAGAGCAUGGCUGUUGGGACCCGAAAGAUGGUGAACUAUGCUUGAAUAGGGUGAAGCCAGAGGAAACUCUGGUGGAGGCUCGCAGCGGUUCUGACGUGCAAAUCGAUCGUCAAAUUUGGGCAUAGGGGCGAAAGACUAAUCGAACUAUCUAGUAGCUGGUUCCUGCCGA
rnacentral:rRNA from 1 species